AUUGAACGCUGGCGGCAUGCCUAACACAUGCAAGUCGAACGGCAGCACAGUAAAGAUUUCGGUCUUUAUGGGUGGCGAGUGGCGGACGGGUGAGUAAUGCGUAGGAAUCUGUCCUGGAGAGUAGGAUAACCCGAGGAAACUCGGGCUAAUACUGCAUGAUAUCGAGAGAUCAAAGGCAGGGGAUCCUUCGGGGCCUUGCGCUCUAGGAUGAGCCUACGUCGGAUUAGCUAGUUGGUGGGGUAAAGGCCUACCAAGGCGACGAUCCGUAGCUGGUCUGAGAGGAUGACCAGCCACACUGGGACUGAGACACGGCCCAGACUCCUACGGGAGGCAGCAGUGGGGAAUCUUGGACAAUGGGGGAAACCCUGAUCCAGCGAUGCCGCGUGUGUGAAGAAGGCCUUCGGGUUGUAAAGCACUUUAGUUGGGGAAGAAAAGUAAUGAGUGAAUAACUGAUUGCUCUGACGGUACCCAAAGAAUAAGCACCGGCUAACUCUGUGCCAGCCGCCGCAGUAA
rnacentral:rRNA from 1 species